rnacentral:rRNA from 1 species
UACGUAGGGUGCAAGCGUUGUCCGGAAUUAUUGGGCGUAAAGAGCUUGUAGGCGGUUUGUCGCGUCUGCUGUGAAAUUUCGGGGCUCAACCCCGAACUUGCAGUGGGUACGGGCAGACUAGAGUGUGGUAGGGGAGACUGGAAUUCCUGGUGUAGCGGUGAAAUGCGCAGAUAUCAUUUGGAACGCCAAUGGUGAAAACAGGUAGCUGGGAGUGUGCUGACGCUGAGACACGAAAGCCAGGGGAGCGAACGGG